rnacentral:rRNA from 1 species
UACGUAGGGUGCGAGCGUUGCCCGGAUUUAUUGGGCGUAAAGGGCGCGUAGGUGGUUCUGUGUGCUCCGCGUGAAAUCGCCCGGCUCAACCGGGCGGGGUCGCGGAUGACUACAGGACUGGAGCCUGGGAGGGGGAAGCGGAAUUCCCGGUGUAGUGGUGGAAUGCGUAGAUAUCGGGAGGAACACCAGUGGCGAAGGCGGCAUCCUGGACCGGCAUUGACGCUGAGGCGCGGAAAGCCCAGGG